UCUAAUACCGGAUAUGACACAGGAAUGCAUGUCCUCUGUGUGGAAAGCUCCGGCGGUGAAGGAUGAGCCCGCGGCCUAUCAGCUUGUUGGUGGGGUGAUGGCCUACCAAGGCGACGACGGG
rnacentral:rRNA from 1 species